UACGUAGGUGACCAGCGUUGUCCGGAUUUACUGGGCGUAAAGAGCGCGCAGGCGGUCGUUCAAGUCGAGUGUGAAAGCCCCCGGCUCAACUGGGGAGGGUCAUUCGAUACUGAUCGACUGGAAGGCAGGAGAGGGAUGCGGAAUUCCAGGUGUAGCGGUGAAAUGCGUAGAUAUCUGGAGGAACACCGGUGGCGAAGGCGGCAUCCUGGACCGAUACUGACGCUGAUGAGCGAAAGCCAGGGGAGCAAACGGG
rnacentral:rRNA from 1 species